UUACCCUUCUCCUUCAGCCGCAUCUCCCGGUGCCUGGCCUCCAGGAUCUUCUCUCGCCGGGUCUCACGCUCAAACAUCUGGGCACCCAGGGACAGAGAGAGCCCGGUGGGGAGAGGGCAGGAUGGCAAGCGACUCCAGUGCUGGGGCCAGGUAAAAAACUGAAUCCUGGAGAGUGACGUGACUUACUGAAGGCCACUUAGCUACCCAGCAGUUGAGCAAAGGCAAAUGGACACACCAACACCUAUUUAUGGAGCCCACACUGCUUCCCCCAAAAUGUGCACCUAUGUUCUGGGGGUGGGAGGGCGGGGCCAUCUAUUUGUCUGACUAGCCUGCUCUGCUGUGGGGCCAGGUCGGGACGUGCUGGAGGGAUUUUCCCCAGGCACCCGGUGCUUACGGAAGAGGCUACGUUCUUCUCAUUCCUCUGGAGGGUAGAGAGCCCAGGCGAGACCUCCAGCAGGGUGGUUGUCCCCAGCUGGGAGCCGCAGGCGAUGAGACACCCAUUGUCCUGCACCCGGAGGCAGAAGAGGGCCUCGUCACACACCUAUUGAAGGGGCCGGGCAGACCCAGGUAGAGGAGAGAGGAGCAAAGUUAUGUGUGUCUGAUUAACUGGCCCCUGGGGAGGCUCAGCCACUUGGCCCUAUUCAAACAUCCUCAGGACGCCUCUGCCCACAGGAUGAAGUUCAAACUCGGAGACUGGUUGUCAAGGCUCCUGGCUUCCCUGCCUCAUCUCCCGCCCCACCCCUUCAGUUCCGCCUCACAGUCACCCUGUGGUUCCCCAAUGCCCCCACCCUUCCGUGGCCCCAGCCAGUGGGGCUCAGCUCUGGCCACCCUGACAUGAAGGGGAAGGUCCAGCAGCCAAACCCCAGGGGCUCUGAAGGAAUCGGCCUGUGGGUAGGAGAUGCCGGGUACCUGCUUUUGUUUCUUUUUAAAUUUCCCCCAGGUGGUUCUGUUGUGCUACCAGGAUGCCAAAUCCCCCAGGCCCCUUAACCUUUGUAGGAGCACACGCUCAAAAGCAAUCGCUGCAGUCAGCCUGCACACGGCUCCCCCACAGAGGCCCAAACACACCUGGCCACACACUGCACACGUGCUCACAGCACCCCACACUCACACCCACGCCGGGACCUGGCUCCCUGAGGACCUGGAUGCACAAGGAGGGACAUGCGCGUGACCUUCAAGCUGAGGGUGGGAUCGCACUGCUCGAACAUGAAGUCCCAGAUAUCCAGGGUUCCGUCCAUCCUGGUGGUAAAGAAAACGGUCGGCCUCACGGGGCUCCAGGCAGCAUCAGUGAGGUCUGUGGACUGCAGAUAAUGACGGAGUCCACCCCAUAGGGCUGCUGCCAGAACUCGCUGAGCUGUUGGAAUGUCGGGCGUUAGCUCUCUGCCUGGCACCUACAUGUUUAUUUUAAUAAUGCUGACAACGAAGGGAAGCUGGAGAGCGUGAAGCCACCACCACCCUGUCCCUGCCUGUGUCUUGCCAGCCCUUCUGUAGACAAUGGUUUGUGCUAAUAAAUGGACACGCUGCCCCUGCAGGCCAUGAAUUAAAGGCAAGUGUCAGGACAGAUGGGACAAAGGCACAAGUUCCAUUCCGCCGCCCCUUGAGUCCCUUCUCAGUCUGCUGGGCACUCUGUCUUGUUGUUGCUGUUGAGAUAGAGUCUCACUCUGUUGCCCAGGAUGGAGUGCAGUGGCAUGAUCUCGGCUCACUGCAACCUCUGACUCCUGGGUUCAAGCGAUUCUCCUGCUUCAGUCUCCCAAGUAGCUGGGAUUACAGGCACCCACCAUCAAGCACAACUAAUUUUUGUAUUUUUAGUAGAGACAGGGUUUUAUCAUGUUAGCCAGGCUGGUCUUGAACUCCUGACUUCAGGUGAUCCACCUGCCUUGGCCUCCCAAAGUGCUGGGAUUACAGGCAUGGGCCACCGAGCCCGGCCUGAUAUGCUCCUUAGGAGCUAAGAAUUGAGAUCCCAUGGGGUCAGGUCUUCAUGCCUCGAACUAAGAAUCUGGAAUUGGUGGGGGUUUCCUGCUUCUGAUUUGACUCUGCUUGGCUCUGCCUGAAACCAGACAAGAGAGGAAGGAGAAGAGUGUGUUCCUCCUCGACUGCGGGCCCUUCCCUUGAGGCACCAACCGCCUCCAGGGGGUUCACGUCCUUGGGCCAGCCCCCCUCGACAUGGUUAACUCCCCGGGUCUCCAUCUCAAACCGCUCUGAGUUGGCCUAAACAGAGAGCCGCAGGAGGGAAGACGUCACCCUGGUAUACUCCCAAACCCUCGGCCACUUCUGCAAGCCAGGUCCCACGGGGGCUCCCAGGGCUGGAUGCUGAGGCGCCCUGGCCGGAGCCACAGUAUUUUCAAAUGCAGGCAAGGAAAUUCCUGGUGAUCAGGUGGGCACAGGUAGCUGCAACAGCGCAACCCUGUGGAGCUAAGCAGCUUUGCAACUGGUAGCUGUGGUCAUGAAAAUCCUGUUCUGACCUUAUCUGAAUUCUAAUGGACCAGAGAAGCCUGUCCAUCUGCUCUGUGAGAAUCCAAAGAAAAGGUGAAUAAUUGGCCGGGUGCAGUGGCUCACACCUGUAAUCCCAGCACUUUGGGAGGCCGAGGCGAGCAGAUCACGAGGUCAGGAGAUCGAGACCGUCCUCGCUAAC
rnacentral:lncRNA from 10 species